rnacentral:lncRNA from 1 species
CAUGGGUGCAGUGACUGCACACUGAUAGAUUAUUGUGACAGAUAAGACUGCAUUUCUCCUCUGCAUCGAGCCACCAGUUGUUCAUGAACUUCCCGGGAAUUUCGGUAUUAGCCACAAAGAUGACAGAACUCGGCUAGUGCGGCAGGGUUGGUCAACGGCAGCUCGCCUUGCGAAAAAGACUCCGCCUGCAUUGUAGAACGACUGGGGAUACCGUCUGUCAACACCUGAGCUAACGUUUCGGCUCCUAAAUACAGAGGUGCAUUCCUUGCUUUUGGUAAGGUAGAAAUCGGAUCCACCACUAGCCGGAAGAGCAGGAACAUCAUAAAGUUGAUCCUGAAAAGGCAGAUGCGGACCCUGUGCAGGUGAAAUGGCAUCGUCAUGAUGAGACACAAAUGCAGUAAACAAAUGUGGGUACCGGUACUCAGGGGGGCCACACCAAGCGCCAUCAGAAAAAAGAAUCUUGCCAUCCACUUUGGUCGCCGAAUGCCUGCGGAUGUUUAUUUCAUUCGCAAGAUGACCAAGCAAAUUGCAUCACGGUGAACGUAUUACUUCCAGAACGCCUCGGCGGGGUUUGACCGUGUAUCAUUUCGCUCAAGAAGAAUGUAUCUGGCUUAAAUACGUCAUCUGGUCCUGAUCGUAAUUGCUUAACGUAGCACACCAUCUUCUCCUAAAUCGUGGUUAUGCUUGAAUCACUGUGUGCCGCCACUUCCGCGUCCAGCCUUCAUGCGCUGCAAUUAAGAGCAACCAUCCUAGCCUGUUCUGCACUCACAAACGGACGCGUCUUGCCCGUCAAGCAAGCCAGCGUUUCGCGCUGUAAAAAACAAAUCAAAACCUCACCAACUUCAAGUUGGGAGCACCGCUGAACCAAAAUGAAAUCCUUUCUUCGGUGUAUAUCAGCAUGCAUCAUGGUGUAUGAACUGAUCGAAAAAGUGGAAAUGCAGGGCCGGGCGUGGAAGACAGUCAACUAGGCAAACGCCUCUAUGGAAUCACAGACCCUGGACGAUAUGAUAAGAAUGUAGUUGUAGACCGCGCAGCAUGAUGUGGUGAGGUUCUCAACGGCACAUCACUGGAUGUUGUUUUCGUGAGUUCUUUUUGUGAAGCAAUUCAUCUGUGUGAGCUCAACACAAGAAGGGUCUACAGGGUUUGAUAAGGUAGUAACGCGUUGACAUAACCUAAACGCAUGUGUCACUCCGGCAUUCAUUAGAGAGCCGGACUACUGUUGAUCAUUUGUCUUGGAGUUUCACCGUGCCUGCAGCGAACUGCUGGGAAUCACAUCUUGGAGUUGCACAAUUUCUCUUCACCGGUGCAGGCCGUGAGCGAAUCAAUGCUGACAUGGGUCGAUACCAUCUUCUGCUUACCUACGCCGUGUAACAACAGGUCGGAGAACGCAACAGAUGAUGCAAUGGAAAAAACUGCUUUCU